UCCUCAUAUCCCGACCUUAUAUCUUUUCCCCAUAUCCAGUCUUCAUAUGCUGACCAUGUAUCUUCUCCUCAUAUCCUGUCCUCAUGUACCUACAUCAUAUUGAUGCCUGAUGAAGCUCAGAUGCGCAAAACUCGUUGCAUGCUGGGAAUAAAGCUCUUUGCCUUUACUUUUAUCUGGUCCCUCAGCGCCUAAGUUCCAUUUUUGGAGGUGGAUUGUGGUUUUUCUGGUACUCGUGGAAUGGCAGCAGUGGGCGAUUGAUAUAUACCCUUCUCCAUGUUGUGCUGGCUGUCGCACAACACUAUAUGCUGCAUCCUAAGAUGAUGCUACAGAACUGCACAUAUGCCAUCCUCAUACAGCGAGCAAUAGCGGUGUAUUUCCAGCAUGGCUGCAUCUUAUUGCAUUAAAUUAUAUCUGUCAGGGAUGACAGCAUCGAUAUAGGCUAAAAUCACGCUGGACAACCUGAAGGACAUGUUCAGCUUCAUCUUCAGUCAGGCCGGAAAGAUCCAGUUUCCUCCCCAUGUUUUUCGUAAUCCUGAAAGCAAUUAAAGGAAUCUGUGCAUCACAUAGAAUGUGGAGAAACACAAAACGCUUCUGCUAAUUAUAGAAAUCAUCCAUAUUUUAUCUGAGGUAAAUGCACAAUAACAGCCAUUAGCAUCUGCAAAAAUAGCUUAACUGGCCAUGAUUGUUACUAAAAUACAGGAAGACAUAAUAUGUAACAGCUUUAUGUGAUGGUCACAUUCUACAAAACUCCCAUUCUAAUCUUACUCUCACUAUUUACCAUAAUAAGAAGCCUAC